rnacentral:rRNA from 1 species
CCUACGGGAGGCAGCAGUGAGGAAUAUUGGUCAAUGGACGAGAGUCUGAACCAGCCAAGUAGCGUGAAGGAUGACUGCCCUAUGGGUUGUAAACUUCUUUUAUAUGGGAAUAAAACGUUCCACGUGUGGGAUUUUGUAUGUACCAUAUGAAUAAGGAUCGGCUAACUCCGUGCCAGCAGCCGCGGUAAUACGGAGGAUCCGAGCGUUAUCCGGAUUUAUUGGGUUUAAAGGGAGAGUAGGUGGAUUGUUAAGUCAGUUGUGAAAGUUUGCGGCUCAACCGUAAAAUUGCAGUUGAAACUGGCAGUCUUGAGUACAGUAGAGGUGGGCGGAAUUCGUGGUGUAGCGGUGAAAUGCUUAGAUAUCACGAAGAACUCCGAUUGCGAAGGCAGUUCACUGGACUGCAACUGACACUGAGGCUCGAAAGUGUGGGUAUCAAACAGGAUUAGAUACCCCUGUAGUC